GGAUGUGGGGCACUUUGGCUGCGACAUCUGUCACUCCACUGAUCGCUGGGGUUGAUUUGGCUGAUCUGGCUGGCUAGGCAAGUGUCACCUUUCCCUCUCACCACUCCAUGUGUGUCCACUCAAAGCUGUGUGGUUGAAGCAGACAACCUUCCCUGGUAGAGGAGGACUAUUGCUUGGUCAAGGGUAUGGAAGUAGCUGUCUCUCCUGCUGGACCCUCCAUGCAACUCUUAAAGCAGCGCCAACAAUCAAUUCCAAAAAGAAAAUAUGAAAAUAAAAAAGAAACCCCAACACUUUGACAAAACUGU
rnacentral:snRNA from 1 species